ACUUAAUGGCUAUGCUCAAACAGAGCACCCUACUUAAAGCAGAUUCAGUUUGUUCCUAACUGCUUGCUGCUUUUUUCUCUGCAACCCACCCACUCCCUGGCUCCAGCUUGUCGUGUAGAACAUGGCAUUUGCUUCUAUGUUAUCGUUGCUUUUCUGUCCAUAUGGGGGAAUAGUUCAGCUCCCCCAGUCCUAAACUGUUUGAGCGUCCCCUAAUGCUGCGGCUGUCUGACUCUCUGCUAUUUCAUGGUGCUCGUGAAAGGUCAGAGGACCCCCUUAACAGAGCCAUACUGCCAAUUUUUAAUUAAGAAUUUAUUAA